rnacentral:rRNA from 1 species
UAGGGAAUCUUCGGCAAUGGACGAAAGUCUGACCGAGCAACGCCGCGCGAGUGAAGAAGGUUUUCGGAUCGUAAAACUCUGUUGUUAGAGAAGAACAAGGACGUUAGUAACUGAACGUCCCCUGACGGUAUCUAACCAGAAAGCCACGGCUAACUACGUGCCAGCAGCCGCGGUAAUACGUAGGUGGCAAGCGUUGUCCGGAUUUAUUGGGCGUAAAGCGAGCGCAGGCGGUUUCUUAAGUCUGAUGUGAAAGCCCCGGGCUCAACCGGGGAGGGUCAUUGGAAACUGGGAGACGUGAGUGCAGAAGAGGAGAGUGGAAUUCCAUGUGUAGCGGUGAAAUGCGUAGAUAUAUGGAGGAACACCAGUGGCGAAGGCGGCUCUCGGGUCUGUAACUGACGCUGAGGCUCGAAAGCGUGGGGAGCAAACAGG